UUCAGCCUUCUCAUGCACUUUUUAAAAUGGUACACUUAAUAGCAUAUAUUUAGUAAAUGUUUGUCAUGAUUUUCCAUUUUGCAUUGCUGUGUAUUCACAGCUAUCUGUUAUUUGGUUCAUUAGUGACAAAAUGGCUGAUGUAACCUAAAAUCAAAUCUGGCUGCUUCUUACAAAUUCAUGCUGUGCUUGCCACUUUCAAUAUAAAAAGGCAGAAUUUCAUAAGCCUAAGAAGAGCCAUCUUCUAAAAUGAGUUAUCUCUAGUCCCCAUAAAAUGAGAGUCGCCAGUCAACAGAGCCUCAGCCUUUCUUUAUGCUGCUGCUGUUCUCUGAGCAUGAUAAUGAAUAAUACAGUUUCAGGGUUGAUUAGGGUUUGCUUUGUUUGUCUGUUUGGUUGGUUUGUUGUUGUUGUUUGUUUGUUGUUGUUGUUGUUGUUUGGCAGACUCCAGAUUAACUAAUGACUAUGCGUUUGCUUAAAAUUACACAGCAGGUCUUUCUAAUUGGAGCAAAUGUCGAGGCUGCCAUGCAAGCUCAGAUUGAUGAUGAUGUUUCUUCUAGUAAGGGCAACAUGCCUCCCAGAGCCAGCUCUCUUUGAACGUAGUUUUGGGUACUGUUCCUGAGGCUGUUACAAAAUGCCCGACAAAAUCAACUAAAAAGAAGGUUCGUCUUGGCUUGUAAUCUCAGAGGCGACUUGAUCCAUCCUAGCAUGAUACCAGGAACAGGAAGCCACUGAGUACAGUUGGUCCUCAGUCAGGAAGAGAGAUGAAUGCAGAUGCUAAGCACAAUGUCUCCCUUUCCUCUUUAUUCAGUCCAAGACAUCAGCCCGCUGGUGUGUAGGAAAUACAAUCCACAUUCAGGGUCGAUCUUCCCUUCUUUAGGUAAACCUCUUUGGAACCACUCUCAAAGCAAAUGUGUGUCUCUCAAGUGAUUCUCAAUCUAGUCAGGUUAACAGUGAAGAAUAACUUACAUCAAGGGCUAGAAAGAAAAAAAAGAGAGAUUGUAAAACAUUAUAUAUUUUCUAAAACUAAAAGUAACUUAGUUUUUUGGCUAAUUUUAUCGGUUAUCAUAGAGCUCUGUAUAAUUUUUCUCUCAACUUAAAAAUCUUCUCAGCAAUAAUUUUCUGUAUAUUGCACUCAUACUUUGCCCCAACUAUCUUAUUGUCUGUUAACUUAUAUGUAUCUUGACUUAGCAAUUCCUUAGGACCAGAAAUUCUGUGGUAUACAUCCUUGUAUUCUCUCUUCUGCCUCCUUACACCAUAAGCUACCUAUCCCCAUACUGAUCAUAUCAAACAAUGGUAGGAAUCCAGAAAAGUAUACAGACCGAACUUUGGAAGUGACCACCUCUGAGAAUGCCUAGAUAGUAAAGUAGCAAGGAUGGAAAUAGAAAGCCAAUUCCUCUUUUGUGAGCUUUCCCACUGGCAUGAAUGAGUAGCCCUGAAAGAUUAAACUAAGCUCUGAAUACCUAAAGUGAUUAAGAAAUUCUCUUUUUCCCCCACUUGGGUUCAUUAAAUAUAAUUGACAAAUAAAAAAUAUAUGGGAUUACAUUGUAAAUGUGAUCCUGUGAUUUAUGUUCACGUUAUGAAAUGAGUAAAUGAAGGUACUUAAUGUAUAUGUCAUCUCACAUGCUUAUAUUUAUUUGUUUGUUUGUUUGUUUGGUGUGGUGAGAACCUUGAAAAUCUAAGUGAAAUUUUCUAUCCUUUCCAGAAGUCUUCGCGUGUCCCCCAUCCCCCUACCAGCUCCACUUACCCUCAGCCAGUCUUCAGUCUUCUCCUGUUCUUUUUUUUUUUACAUCAGUAUGUAAAUAUUUGUCAAAACUCCCCUUUGUAGUGAUGAGCAAUUUUUUACCCAUUCUGUUGAUAGUGUUCUGAUGAUAUUCUGUUGAUAGUGUUCUGAUUUAUUCAGUGUGUGGUUGUAGGGUCACAGUAACUAAGGACCACUAUAAAAAUAACAUCAACAAUCUCUAUGAUGACAAAAUAAAUAGAAAUGUCAUGAUGUUUCUGUGGAGCUGCUUCUUGUGGCCCAGCUGCUGGCACCAUGUGUUGUCUUUUUAUUUUAGUUUGUUUGCUGAAAUUAUACACUUGCUUCAUAGCUAAGAACAACCUUGAGUUUCUUCCUCAUCCUCUUACCUCCACUUCCUCAGUGCUCGGAUCGAGGGUAUGGAUCACCAAGGCUAGAUUAAAGGCGUACUUACUUAAUAUAUGGCUAGUGGGAAACUUGUGGAACUUGGGAGAGAGCCUAGUCUGUUUUCAUAGCUUAGUUGUUCUGUAGUGAAGAGUUGUAGUAUGUGGGGAAGCCUAACUGUUUGGAGCAGGGCUUGUGUCUUGUAGCCAGUCCUUCCAUUCAGUUGACUUUUCCACUUCUUGAUUGUGAAUUCUUCAUUCUGGAGAACAUGGGUCAACUGCAAAUGACAAUUACUGCCCCCACUAGCACCAAUUUUUGUCACUAGGAUAGUGAAAUUAACCAGAGUUAGGACUUUUUUCUCUAUUUUUCUAAUUUCUAGAAUGUAUCCAGCAUGUAAGUAAUUUUCCUUUUCCCAUCCUGUCUUCUCUAGGUUUCCCCCAUCACUUUGGAGUUCCCUUCUGACAUCCUGGCUGCCCCCUGCCUGCUGCUUUCUUGACACCCUUCAGUCUUUUGCCCUCCCUUCUCCAUGUCACUUGCUCUCUAGACAUCAAUGCAUCUCCUGUGCAUUAUUGCUCUCCCUCCAUCCUUUUCUCUCCUGACAGGGCACUUUCUCUUUCUCACAUCUUCUUUAAUUUCUCCAGGAUUCCAUUAUCUCUAAGUGCUUUUUUUUUCCUUUUUGUUAUUUAAUUCUCUAGAAAGAAUUCACUUUUUGUUUUUUGUUUGUUUGGUUGGUUUUUGUUUUAAGGAGGUAUUGAAGGAGGAAGGAAGUGUGGAAGGGGAAGAGACUGAAGGCUAAAUAAAUGUGGCACCCAUUGGGUAAACAGGAAUCCUAGCUGGUUUUGCCCAUUCCUCCUCCUAUCCUGAAAAUGACGGUCUAUGAUUUUUCCUUCUUGCAGAGAUUUUCCCCUUCUUUCUUUGUAUUUGCCACAUGGUGCUGCAAGUGUCCCAGAUCAGGCCCUUCCACAGACGUCCUGAUAAGAUAAUUGUCAUUUGAAAAAUAUAAUAGAAUCUCAAGAUCUGUGUCAACUCCAUCUCACUCUCUAAGAAUUCUGGGACUUUCAAACAGUGCCUUCCCCAGCGGGAAUCAUUGUUUUAUGAAACUGUGUGUGGCACAUGUGGGUCUUCUACACACUCCAGCUCCUGGUGAUGCUGCUGGUGAUGGUGUGGGAAUUGAAGGCUAAAGGACAAUAUCGGGAAAUGAACAGCCUGUGAUGACAUGAUGGGGCAGUGGGGGCCUGGAGUCAGGAAGAAGAGCAGCUAGGUCAGACAGAUUAGAACCCGUGCUGCCUGGUGUUUGUUCCCUGGCCGCAGGGUUUUGAAAGGAAUCUGAUUGUCCUAUGAAGUAUCCUGAAGCUGCUCUGCGGGUUGCCAUCCAUCCACUAGUCCAGAUGGCUGGCUUCUUUCUAACUUCAGUCCUCAUGACUAUGGAAGGGCUGAUCGUCCACCUCUUCUGCUCCAUAUGAGCUGGGCCGGGUGGGAUAAAGAAGGGAGAGUUCCAGAGAAGUGCAGAGCAGGUACAAAGUCUUGAAGCCUGCUAGACUUAACUCUCACAGCCCUUCUCUGAGGCACACAUCCUAUGAGACAAGCCUGGGGCGGGGCUUCCUUUCUAGUUCUCUUCUUCCUUAUGAACACUGUUUUAAAACAAACAAGUCAAUAAGACACCUCUCACUAUUCUGUAUUUUUUCAUAUUGUUUAUGGAGAAUAAAAGGAAAACCCUCAUGGGCCUGUGUUGCACAUAAGAUUUGCAGGGUUUUUUUUUUUUUCCAGUGUAAUUGAGGUCAUUUGUAUAUCGAUUUUUAGAGAACAUUGUAGUACUGUAAAUGAAUGACUGGGUUAUUCAGGACAAAUAAUGUUUUAGAUUAAAGGUCAUCUGUAGAUGGCUGUAUUAUCUUCUUUACUCUAUUAUCCUACCUCACUUUAGACUGAGUGCAGGUUUUUAAAAAAAAAAAAAAAGACUCACUUUUUU
rnacentral:lncRNA from 1 species